rnacentral:lncRNA from 13 species
AUGUUCCACAUGUCACGGCUCAUGUCUAAAACAUGGAGAAAAGGGGACAUUGUAAAUGCAUCAAUAUUUAGACUAAUUCAAUGUUUUACGCAAUAUUGUAUCAUAUUUGAUGAGUUACUGACCUGUCAUCCACAGGCUCCAUCCGCUGUAGUCUAUACAACUAGACGCAUGCACUUGGAUCAAACUGGCACAGGAUGUCCAUGCACCGGAUGGCCUGAGAGAUGCACUCCUGUUGGACUGAAAAACAAACUAAUUUGCACUCUGGUAUAUGGACCCCCAUCCAAAGAAGUUCAAAGAGAGAAGCUUAGCCAUAACAGACAGAUUCCUGCAAUUACCACAAGGCUGUGGAUCCUACAACAGAUACCAGGAAACACGACACAAGGCACCAAAACUAAGUUAUGAUCAGCUUCGGGAUCAUUGCAGUCAGCUCUCUAUCUCAAUAUCCCAGCCCUGGGCACAUCGGAAUCACUUCACAGGUAUUUUAAUGAAUGUAUUGUGUCAUUUUUCUAUAUCAAUUAAGUUUGUGGCACACUACUACUCCUUGUAGAUUCAUGUCAAACACACUGUGUCUAAUAUUGUAAAAUGUAACCAGUUAUUCGGGAAACGUAAAACGUUUGUUAUCGAAAGUAAGUGUUAGCUUUAUGUUUUAAACCUCUCAACUAAAACUGCCUGUAUUCCUUGUUCACAUUAGAUCUCAGAGAAGAAGUGGUGCGUCUAACAGAGUCCAUAGCAGCUGAUGCAUCCCAUUUGGAGAAGGUGAAUCAAGCAAUGACCAGACGUCACCAACAGCCCACUCCACCACCUACACCAGAGUCCAUAGCAGCUGAUGCAUCCCACUUGGAGAAGGUGAAUCAAGCAAUGACCAGACGUCACCAACAGCCCACUCCACCACCUACACCUGAGUCCAUAGCAGCUGAUGCAUCCCACUUGGAGAAGGUGAAUCAAGCAAUGACCAGACGUCACCAACAGCCCAUUCCACCACCUACACCAGAGUCCAUAGCAGCUGAUGCCUCCCGCUUGGAGAAGGUGAAUCAAGCAAUGACCAGAUGUCACCAACAGCCCACUCCACCACCUACAUCAGAGUCAGAUUUUUUUUAUGCUACACUGUGAGAGCAUCAUGCGGACCGGUCAGACCCCAGUACAGCACUCUGUUACAAGUUUUGGAGAAAGUGCCCCAAUACCACCCCCUCUUUCUACUGGACUUUUCUUCUAAAGAUAGAUUCCAAAGAAGGAAAUGGAUUGAAAACUUGACUUUCACUUUGUACAAGUAUGCCUGUGGUAACUACCUAGGCACUCUGACAUUCAUAAGGAAGGUAUCCUAACAUAGCCAUGAUGUUCAUGAGACCAGGCUUCUGUCAUCUCCACACUGAGAAAAUAAAUACCAACAUACCACACUAGAGCAAUACAAAAAGCAUUCCUGUACAAAUACACACAUGCUGCCAAAGUGAACAGCUACUUCCUGUCACGUGUGCUCUCUCUCCGGCUUCUAGGUCACCAGGCUGCUCAUUAUGGUGCACACCUGUCACCAUCGUUACGCGCAUCUGCGCAUCAUCAGACGCACCUGGACUCCAUCAUGUCCCUGAUUACCUUCCCUACAUAUGACACUCCAUUUGAUUCUUUCCCCAGGCGUUACUGUUUCUGUUCCAGCUUCAUGUCUGUGCGCUACCCGUGUUUCUUGUUUUGUAUUAUGUUUCGUUUUUUUAUAAAAGUAUUAAUUUCCUGAACUUGCUUCCCGACUCCCAGAGCACAUUGUUACACUUCCUGAGAGAAACAGUGCCCACUUGAUGAGAGAGUAUCAUUGUUCCUCCUUGAUGGUGAUGACCCAGACUUGAAAUGGAUUCUGAGGAAUCUUAAUGGCAAAUCAUAAUCCUCAUUCCAGGCCUUUUGAGAUGAAGCACAGAUGUAUUUUAAUGAAUACACAGCUCAGGUCAACGAUCGCAGACAUGGGGAGUACUUGUACUUACCUUUUGCUAUAUCAGUUGAGGACUUGUGUGACGCAGUGGAAAAGUGGCAUAACCAGAAAUUAAAAUCCCAUCAAUACAGUGGCUAGGACUGCAGUUUACACCCAAUAAUCCAUGGUCCAUGUCUGCUCUCCAGUACAUAGGAAGGUUUGACCUCAAGUUCAUGGUCCAGCCUCGGGUGAUAAGGGACACCUGUUGCAGUACAGUGGAACUACAUUAAACAGUUUGCCUGCAUGUGGCAGAAGGACUGUGAAAUGUUAUGUGUGGAUGAUAAGGCAUUCAUCCUUGUCGGAAAACCUGGCCAGCCUAUAGGGACCUGUACCAGAGGCAGACAUCCAAGCAUUGCUCCUGUGAGUGGGCCAGUUCUAGCAGCUGCCAACCAUGAUUACCACAUCAGCGGACUUGUACCAUCUGUCGACUUGUACCAUCUGUCAUGUUGAUCCCACCAUCUCCAUCUAGUUCAUUCUAUGAUGGGAACAUUAAUGUCACUGUCAAGGACAAGGUUUUCCAGCCAUCCAGCCCCUUCGACACAGUUCAAUCUCAGCAUCCUCAGAAGAGAGAACUACAGUGAAGAUGUCAAUCUUGAUCAUUCAAUCUGAUGGUGGGCCAGAUCACAGAACCACAUAUGUCUCUGUUCAAGCAUGCCACACACUCUUGUUUGUUCAACCGGAUCUUGACAUGCUUUUGGCCUGUAGAACAGCACCAGAUGACAGCUGGGCCAACCCUGCCAAGAGAGAUAAUUCCGUUCUAAACUUGGGGCUUCAGGGAACAGCCCUGGCGAGGGUGAAGAUGGAAGAAUCAAAUAAGAAGCCGUGUGAAGAAGUGUAACACAAUGACAAGCGUAAAACAGCCUCCAAACAGCCAGACCUGAAAGAGAAUUUUGAAAAAAGUAUGCA